CUUGUGUUUGACACCCAUGAUGUAGCACAUUGUGAUAGUAGAGAUUAUGGAGGCUGGCAGCAGCUAUGGGAUCCUGCUGUGCUUCUUUGGCUGAAGCAGCACAGGGGAGUGUUCUACCUGCUUCAUGUUUACUUUUUCUGCAGAAGGAAGAGAAUGUUAACACAUAGGGGUGAAAGAAGAGACAGCAAAAGCAGUGAGAGUAAGGGGAAACAGCUGGAGAGAAGUUGGGAGACAACCCCACUCUCAUUCAUUCAUUUUCUGUAAAAUGCAAGUCACUUUUAUGCUUACUAUAGUUGUUCUUAUCUUCCAUAAACCUUAGCUUUUGAACAAAGAACCAUAAAUGGCCUCAGCCCUGUAUACCUGGAGUAUCCACACCUCCAUCAUUCAGCCCAGACAUGGAGGUCCAGCUCUGAGGGCCUUCUGGUGGUUCCCUCACUGUGAGAAGUUACAGGGGGCCAGGCAGAGGGCCUUCUUGGUAGUGGCACCCUGUGGAACGUUGUGCCAUCAGAUGUCAAAGACAUAAACAAUUAUACGAUUUUCUGAAGACAUCUGAAGGUAGCCCUGUAUUGGGAAGUUUUUAAUGGUCUGAUGUUUUGAUAUGUUUCUUCGAUUCUGUUGGAAGCUGCCCAGAUCGUGGAGUAUAAGUAAUAAAUUGUUGCUGUUGGUAUAAUUAUUAGUGAGCAUUCAAUAUUAAAAUAAAGCAAAAGCAAAAACAAGUUUAGAAAACCUCCAAUAUAAUCUCUAUUGUAACUUGGUUUGAAACAUCCCACAGCCCCCCCAAAUAAUGAUUUUUUAAAUCAGCCCAUCUUUUAUCAUUUCCCCCCUAAAAACACCAGUAAAGACUUGAUAGCACUGAAUAGUCAUUGCAUGAAAAACCCACCCACUUACUGUAUUCAUGAAUAAAUUAGGAAAUUAAAUUUCAAACUGGUUUUUGGCGAAUACAAGGAAUGGCAAAGUUGUCUUGUUCUGAAAUGUUGGAAGCUACUGUCCUGUGAGACAAGUCUAAGGGGAGAUAACAUACAUUUGGGCUUGAUAUGGAGGUCAUGUAAAGAAGAAUCUUAUAAUUUAAUUAAAAACUGUAAUUAAUCCUUGGGAGAUACGAUAGCUCACUAUGGUCUGACAUAAUGGGCCUACAGAGUUUAAAAGCCAAAAUAUAAAUGAAAACUCUAUAUUUAAAAGAUGCCAAGGGAGAGAACCUUUUUUGUCAUGGUAUCUGAUGGAAAUAGUAUUCAGAAAUAUAACCGCCUUUGUUCUUUUGAGAACAAAAACUAAGCAUUAAAAACUACUUUAAUGCUAGAAGAUUAAUUACAAAAAAUGAAUUGGGCCACUGUUUUUGGCUUUGCUUUCAAAACUCUUUGGAAAAGAGCAAAACUAACAAUUCUAUGCUUAGCAAAUUAGUUAAUAUCCUUGAAAAAGUCAAUAAAUUUAUUGUGCUUUUAUAAGGGCCUAUUCUCUAUUUAGCCUGGAAAAAUAGGCUGAAAUCCAAAGUGGUGGUCAGGCUUAUUCUAAAGAGUUUUCACAAAUCCAGCGGAAGUUGUAUUUUUAUUUUUAUUUUUAAAUUCAUUGAUCAGCUGUUCUGCAAGCCACAUCCGAACUACUUUUGAAGCUCUUUUCUGUUUCCCAAGUUGUUUGCCAUGUAGCUUUCCCCCCUGCUCUCUGUUGGAUUUAGAUAAUUCCUUUCUGUAUUCUGUAUGAUUGAUGUCAUCAUACAGUAUUUCUCUUCCUCCUCACUUUUUUUUCUGUCUGGGCCGCCAGUUUGGUGAAAAGUGAAUAUGAGUAAAGAAGUAAAGUGUUCAGUUGAUCAAAUGUACCGUAUUUCUGAGGUUUGCAGCUCUGCUAAAUGCGCUUACGUCUGGGAUCACCAACCCAACACCAGUGUCUGUGUGCUGUGUGUUGAGGCCAUCUUGUAUACCGUAUGUCCCCUGUAAGGGGGAAUAUUCUUUGUUAUUAGAUGGCAGUAGCAUCAUGUUUUUAGUGUGUGUUGAGAAAUCAAUAUUGUGUGAUCUCCUCAAUCAGGAAUAGCAGGACAUUGAUUCUAGAGAAAAGGGGACUGCUGAAAUUUCUCUGCUAAGUUGCCACAGAAACCUAAGCAGCUGAAAACACUUCUGGGAGAUUUAUUUAUUAUUACAUUUUUAUGCCACCCUUCAGUCCAAAGAAGCCCAGGCAAGAAAAGCAGGCAUCUCUUCCCCUUCUCCACUAGCUGAAAGAGACAUCUGACUUGUUCUCUGGAAGAAGCAGUGUUGGAAUUGAGACAGAGAGAGACCUGACUUGCUAUUUGUAGGGAUAUAAUGCUAAGAUUCAUAAGUGUAUUUAGAACCGCCACCCUCUGACUUGGAGUCUUCAUCCUAAUUUUUUAAUGUGUGGAACUCCAUGCUCGGUGCAGGGAAAAAUGGUCUCUGCAGCUGCUCUGUGGCAUAUUUAAUCUAUUCUUACUGCAUAUGCAAUCUGUCCAGGAAUCCUUUCUGCUGGAACUCAAAUACCUCUGUUCCUCAGAAAGCUCUUUCUGGGUUUUAUAAAAUUUACUUCGAAACUCGGAAAGACUUGUAGCUGAACAGCAAAUCUGAGAUGGCUGCAUUUUAUGCAGAGGGUCCUGCACUGCAGAAUCGCUGUGCUUGCCUUUCAGCACGCUCUUUGUUCUGGUUCUGCGAAUUCACAUCACCUUUGCUUUUGCUGUCAUCUCAAUUGUUUUACGAUUAAUCUUUGCUGCUCACUGAAUCUUACUCUGUAGGCCUUGUGAUUUCAUCCACUAUUGGUGUCAAGGUCAAAAUCUUUUAAUUUUAUAGGUAGAGCUGGCACCAUAACCUCUGGGUCUGCUGCUGUAUAUUUAAAUGCUGACAGUUGUCUAAAAAUGACAGUGUCUUGGGCUUAUGUCUGUCAGCUUCUUUAUUGAAUUCUUGGGCUGUAUUUUGUCUCGGAAGCCUAUAAACAUCAUGAUUUCAAAAUUGAUUCCCCCCUUCACUGUGGCAACCUGACAUGUUUGAUAUUGGGAUUUUCUUGUUAAAUUUUUUUUUUAUGGCAUUAAAGAUUUUCUACUGAUUACCGAGAGUUAAGCUUGUAUAUUGCUUCAGGUUUAAAAUUGAAGAAAGCACCAGCAAAAUAAGAAGGAGAAACUAAUAAUAUAUAUAUACCUGAGUGACUUUUCUGCUAA